UACGUAGGUGGCAAGCGUUAUCCGGAUUUACUGGGCGUAAAGGGUGUGUAGGCGGGACCGCAAGUCAGAUGUGAAAAUUAUGGGCUCAACUCAUAACCUGCAUUUGAAACUGUGGUUCUUGAGGGUCGGAGAGGUAACUGGAACUCCCAGUGUAGCGGUGAAAUGCGUAGAUAUUGGGAAGAACACCGGCGGCGAAGGCGGGUUACUGGACGAUUACUGACGCUGAGACACGAAAGUGUGGGGAGCAAAC
rnacentral:rRNA from 1 species